GCCCUAGUAACGGCGAGUGAAGCGGCAACAGCUCAAAUUUGAAAUCUGGCGUCUUUGGCGUCCGAGUUGUAAUUUGCAGAGGGCGCUUUGGCAUUGGCAGCGGUCCAAGUUCCUUGGAACAGGACGUCACAGAGGGUGAGAAUCCCGUACGUGGUCGCUAGCCUUUACCGUGUAAAGCCCCUUCGACGAGUCGAGUUGUUUGGGAAUGCAGCUCUAAAUGGGAGGUAAAUUUCUUCUAAAGCUAAAUACUGGCCAGAGACCGAUAGCGCACAAGUAGAGUGAUCGAAAGAUGAAAAGCACUUUGGAAAGAGAGUUAAAAAGCACGUGAAAUUGUUGAAAGGGAAGCGCUUGCAGCCAGACUUGCCUGUAGUUGCUCAUCCGGGUUUUUACCCGGUGCACUCUUCUAUAGGCAGGCCAGCAUCAGUUUGGGCGGUUGGAUAAAGGUCUCUGUCAUGUACCUCUCUUCGGGGAGAACUUAUAGGGGAGACGACAUGCAACCAGCCUGGACUGAGGUCCGCGCAUCUGCUAGGAUGCUGGMGUAAUGGCUGUAAGCGGCCCGUCUUGAAACACGGACCAAGGAGUCUAACAUCUAUGCGAGUGUUUGGGUGUCAAGCCCGAGCGCGUAAUGAAAGUGAACGGAGGUGGGAACCUUUCGGGGUGCACCAUCGACCGAUCCUGAUGUCUUCGGAUGGAUUUGAGUAAGAGCAUAGCUGUUGGGACCCGAAAGAUGGUGAACUAUGCUUGAAUAGGGUGAAGCCAGAGGAAACUCUGGUGGAGGCUCGCAGCGGUUCUGACGUGCAAAUCGAUCGUCAAAUUUGGGCAUAGGGGCGAAAGACUAAUCGAAC
rnacentral:rRNA from 1 species